GAUGAACGCUGGCGGCGUGCCUAAUACAUGCAAGUCGAGCGAACGGACGAGAAGCUUGCUUCUCUGAUGUUAGCGGCGGACGGGUGAGUAACACGUGGAUAACCUACCUAUAAGACUGGGGUAACUUCGGGAAACCGGAGCUAAUACCGGAUAAUAUUUUGAACCGCAUGGUUCAAAAGUGAAAGACGGUCUUGCUGUCACUUAUAGAUGGAUCCGCGCUGCAUUAGCUAGUUGGUAAGGUAACGGCUUACCAAGGCAACGAUGCAUAGCCGACCUGAGAGGGUGAUCGGCCACACUGGAACUGAGACACGGUCCAGACUCCUACGGGAGGCAGCAGUAGGGAAUCUUCCGCAAUGGGCGAAAGCCUGACGGAGCAACGCCGCGUGAGUGAUGAAGGUCUUCGGAUCGUAAAACUCUGUCAUUAGGGAAGAACAUAUGUGUAAGUAACUGUGCACAUCUUGACGGUACCUAAUCAGAAAGCCACGGCUAACUACGUG
rnacentral:rRNA from 1 species